rnacentral:rRNA from 1 species
UGCUUGCUCUGUGCGUGCGGCUGGUGUAAUGCGUAGGGGGCAGGCUUUAUUCGUAAUUAUUGGGCGUAAAGGGCGCGUAGGCGGUUUCUUAAGUCGGAUGUGCAAUCCCCGGGCUCAACCCGGGAACUGCAUCCGAGACUGGGAGGCUAGAGUACUGGAGAGGUUGGUGGAAUUCCUCGUGUAGCGGUGAAAUGCGUAGAGAUGAGGAGGAACACCAGUGGCGAAGGCGGCCAACUGGACAGUAACUGACGCUGAGGCGCGAAAGCGUGGGUAGCAAACAGGAUUAGAUACCCGAGUAGUC